rnacentral:rRNA from 1 species
CCUACGGGCGGCAGCAGUGGGGAAUAUUGGACAAUGGGCGAAAGCUUGAUCCAGCCAUGCCGCGUGUGUGAAGAAGGCCUUCGGGUUGUAAAGCACUUUCAGUGGGGAAGAAAGCCUUGGGGCUAAUACCCUCGAGGAAGGACAUCACCCACAGAAGAAGCACCGGCUAACUCCGUGCCAGCAGCCGCGGUAAUACGGAGGUGCGAGCGUUAAUCGGAAUUACUGGGCGUAAAGCGCGCGUAGGCGGUCUGAUAAGCCGGUUGUGAAAGCCCCGGGCUCAACCUGGGAACGGCAUCCGGAACUGUCAGGCUAGAGUGCAGGAGAGGAAGGUAGAAUUCCCGGUGUAGCGGUGAAAUGCGUAGAGAUCGGGAGGAAUACCAGUGGCGAAGGCGGCCUUCUGGACUGACACUGACGCUGAGGUGCGAAAGCGUGGGUAGCAAACAGGAUUAGAUACCCCAGUAGUC